UGGGGAAUAUUGCACAAUGGAGGGAACUCUGAUGCAGCGACGCCGCGUGAACGAAGAAGGCUUUCGAGUCGUAAAGUUCUUUUAUAUGGGAAGAUAAUGACGGUACCAUAAGAAAAAGCUCCGGCUAACUACGUGCCAGCAGCCGCGGUAAUACGUAGGGGGCUAGCGUUGUCCGGAAUCACUGGGCGUAAAGGGUUCGCAGGCGGAAAUGCAAGUCAGGUGUAAAAGGCAGUAGCUUAACUACUGUAAGCAUUUGAAACUGCGUAUCUUGAGAAGAGUAGAGGUAAGUGGAAUUUUUAGUGUAGCGGUGAAAUGCGUAGAUAUUAAAAAGAAUACCGGUUGCGAAGGCGACUUACUGGGCUCAUUCUGACGCUGAGGAACGAAAGCGUGGGUAGCAAACAGG
rnacentral:rRNA from 1 species